ACGGGGUGCAGCAGGCGCGAAAACUUUGCAAUGUGCGAAAGCACGACAAGGUUAAUCCGAGUGGUUUCUGCUAAAGGAACCUUUUGACAGUCCUAGAAACACUGUUGAAUAAGGGGUGGGCAAGUUCUGGUGUCAGCCGCCGCGGUAAAACCAGCACCUCAAGUGGUCAGGAUGAUUAUUGGGCCUAAAGCAUCCGUAGCCGGCUCAGUAAGUUUUCGGUUAAAUCUGUACGCUCAACGUACAGGCUGCCGGGAAUACUGCAGAGCUAGGGAGUGGGAGAGGUAGACGGUACUCGGGAGGAAGUGGUAAAAUGCUUUGAUCUUUCGAUGACCACCUGUGGCGAAGGCGGUCUACCAGAACACGUCCGACGGUGAGGGAUGAAAGCUGGGGGAGCAAACCGGAUUAGAUACCCGGGUAGUCCCAGCUGUAAACUAUGCAAACUCAGUGAUGCAUUGGCUUGUGGCCAAUGCAGUGUUGCAGGGAAGCCGUUAAGUUUGCCGCCUGGAAGUACGUACGCAAGUA
rnacentral:rRNA from 1 species